GAUGAACGCUGGCGGCGUGCCUAAUACAUGCAAGUCGAGCGAACAGACGAGGAGCUUGCUCCUCUGACGUUAGCGGCGGACGGGUGAGUAACACGUGGAUAACCUACCUAUAAGACUGGGAUAACUUCGGGAAACCGGAGCUAAUACCGGAUAAUAUAUUGAACCGCAUGGUUCAAUAGUGAAAGACGGUUUUGCUGUCACUUAUAGAUGGAUCCGCGCCGCAUUAGCUAGUUGGUAAGGUAACGGCUUACCAAGGCGACGAUGCGUAGCCGACCUGAGAGGGUGAUCGGCCACACUGGAACUGAGACACGGUCCAGACUACUACGGGAGGCAGCAGUAGGGAAUCUUCCGCAAUGGGCGAAAGCCUGACGGAGCAACGCCGCGUGAGUGAUGAAGGUCUUCGGAUCGUAAAACUCUGUUAUUAGGGAAGAACAAAUGUGUAAGUAACUAUGCACGUUUUGACGGUACCUAAUCAGAAAGCCACGGCUAACUACGUG
rnacentral:rRNA from 1 species